rnacentral:rRNA from 1 species
GACGAACGCUGGCGGCGUGCUUAACACAUGCAAGUCGAACGGAAAGGCCCUGCUUUUGUGGGGUGCUCGAGUGGCGAACGGGUGAGUAACACGUGAGUAACCUGCCCUUGACUUUGGGAUAACUUCAGGAAACUGGGGCUAAUACCGGAUAGGAGCUCCUGCUGCAUGGUGGGGGUUGGAAAGUUUCGGCGGUCGGGGAUGGACUCGCGGCUUAUCAGCUUGUUGGUGGGGUAGUGGCUUACCAAGGCUUUGACGGGUAGCCGGCCUGAGAGGGUGACCGGCCACAUUGGGACUGAGAUACGGCCCAGACUCCUACGGGAGGCAGCAGUGGGGAAUAUUGCACAAUGGGCGGAAGCCUGAUGCGGCGACGCCGCGUGCGGGAUGACGGCCUUCGGGUUGUGAACCGCUUUCGCCUGUGACGAAGCGUGAGUGACGGUAAUGGGUAAAGAAGCACCGGCUAACUACGUG